CUUAAGCAGACUUGACAGGAU
rnacentral:piRNA from 1 species